rnacentral:sRNA from 1 species
GUACACAUCAUUUAAAUGAAAUACUUCGAGUUCAAGUGGCUUUUGUUUAUUGCCUUGUUACUAUGUUGUGCCGAUGUUUUGGCAGCACCAAAACGCAAACCGAAGCCUGUUAGGCCGAAGCCAAAAAUAAAAUUGCCAAAAAUUACGAUAACCGUAAAGAAAGAAACCAAAAUCCAGAUUGGAUGAACUCAAGUUUAUUAUGUAAAUUAGUUUUAACAACUACAGAAAUUAGUUUUGUAUUUACUGGAACAUAUGUAUGCAUAUAUAUUAAAUAUUAUAUUUUUAUA